AGAGUUUGAUCAUGGCUCAGAACGAACGCUGGCGGCAGGCUUAACACAUGCAAGUCGAACGCCCCGCAAGGGGAGUGGCAGACGGGUGAGUAACGCGUGAGAAUCUACCCAGAUCUUCGGAACAACCCAGGGAAACUUGGGCUAAUACCGGAUACGCCCUACGGGGGAAAGAUUUAUCGGUUCUGGAUGAGCCCGCGUUGGAUUAGCUAGUUGGUGAGGUAAAAGCUCACCAAGGCGACGAUCCAUAGCUGGUCUGAGAGGAUGAUCAGCCACACUGGGACUGAGACACGGCCCAGACUCCUACGGGAGGCAGCAGUGGGGAAUAUUGGACAAUGGGCGAAAGCCUGAUCCAGCCAUGCCGCGUGAGUGAUGGAGGCCUUAGGGUUGUAAAGCUCUUUUAGUGGGGAAGAUAAUGACGGUACCCACAGAAAAGCCC
rnacentral:rRNA from 1 species